UGUCAUGCUGGAGGUUCCUGUCUAUCUGUGGCCUUCCAAAGGUUGGCAGCCCUCAGUGAGUGCCAGCCCAGCUGUGUGCCAGGAGGGAAGGCAGCCAUCCUGCACUGAAAGCAUUUCAAAGAGAGAACGGGUAUUGUGCCAGGAGAGCCAGCCACAUGGAGAGGUGGAAGAAAAUAGAGCCAGUUAAUCACCCUGCAUGUGUUAUCUAUCUGGAUGGAAAAUGGGCUGAAAAUAUCCUGUGUUUCAGAGCAACUGCAUAGUUUUUGAUGAUUCAGCUUCCAUGGUCUACCCACAAGACCUGAAGAGGUCAAGGCAUUACUGCCAGCUUUAACCCAAGGGGAAUAAGAGCAAAUCUUCUGAAUCUGUAUGGCCGUGCCUGGCCAAAUGAGCUCCUGGAGCUCAUCAGUGGAAGGGCCGAAGAAGCCCUAGAGCCCUGCCGAGCAGGCGGUGCCAUCCUGCACUGCAUGCACAGGCAAGGGCUUCUGGCUGAAGGAUGCUGCAAUGCUGAGCCUCAAAUCAUCCUCCAGCACUUCACACCUGCAAAAGUGCAUGGGCUGCUGCACAUGGCCAGCUUUGUAUCAGUGAUCACCCCAUCAUGGACCAGUGAGUCACUGGCUGCACUACACAGCAAUCAAGUUGUCCCAGGAACAUCAUGGAGGAAAGCAGAGCAGCUCUGGAGAGCAAAAAGCUCUCAAGCUCUAGAUUUUCUGCAAAGCUGGUCUUUCCCACCAGUGCAUAGGAAAUGGUGUUCAGGUGGCUGCAAAGCAGGCUCAGCCUGCAAGCUUUAGGCAAAAAGUCAGACAACAGUGGCUGAAGGAGAGCAGGGAUUUUUCCUUCUAAUUCCUGGCAGCCUUUUUCCAUAUAUAAUUAUAAGAAGAGCCAUUUUGCAGCACAGUGCUCAUUGUUUCAGGCUUUUUUCAUCUGGGUAAUUACCAAGCCAGUGGGUAAAUGCUCUGUCAGCUGAGAACACGAGGUACCAUUAAGCAUCAAGCACUUGUGCUACAUUUAUGUGCAAGGCAACAGGAGCAGCAAAGGACUGAAUCCCACUCCCACCAUCAGGGUUGCCUAAGCGUACCAUACACCAUGCUCCUUUUUCCAAAGCAUUUGCUGCCACUUUACUUUCAACACCCUAGGGGCUGUGUGCAUGGAUGUCCACAAAGCCCCACAUACCCCCACACAGAGACUCCCCCCACUGAAGUCACAGCAGGACCACAGAGAACCCCUACCCCAGAGAACCAACAGCCCCAAGAGAAGACAUGGGCAACACAGGUUCUGACUGUCCCCUCCUUCCCACCCACCCCGCAAAUGAAAAGCCAAAACCUUCCCAGUAUCAGGGUAAAAUUACCUUUAAGUAAAGACAAAACACAUACAAAAGAAGUUGCCAGGAAGCACAGAAAGGAGGAAGAAGUCAGAAUUAACAUUUCAAUCUCUCUUUUUUUUUUUUAAUUAUAAAAAAACUAUUCGGAAGAAGUCCAAAUGCAACGGAAUAUAACUGGCACCAUCUAAGAUACCCAAAGUGUAAGAUCCUGGAACGUUUGAACCCCCAGCCCGAGCUGGGAGGCACAGGGCUGCCUGGGAGGGAUGGAUCCUUCCCCUUCUCCCAGCCACAAUCAGCGGAGGCAGGCAGUCCCAUAGCCAGGACACAACAGUGACAUCGACGGUCUCUGUAAAAUCACUCAGUUUUAUAAACUAAGUACAUUACAAGAAAAAAAAAAAAGUCAUCUAAAAUUUCAUUUAUCAAAAGCCCUGCUUUAGUGACGUGCUAACCCCACCGGAAAGUGAAGCACCCACAGCUCUGUCCAGAACAUGGUGAAGUUGACCAGCCAACUCCUCGUUCUGAACACCUUCCUCCCCCUCAUCCACACAAGCACUUCAUGGCUACUUGAGUUACAGUGAUAAACGUUCCUGUGGGCUUCCCAGGUCUGGGAAUUGCCUCCUGCAAGCUGCAUUCCUCUGAGUCUUCCCCACUGAGCCCUUCAAGCUCUCCCUCAGUCCCACCUGAAGGCCCUCUGGCAGCACCCCCAUGAGCUCUGCCCACUCUUGUGGUCAAGUCCCUGGGACAUCAUCUUUUUCUUCUUCAAAAGAAAAAAAAAAAACAACCCAAAAACCAGAAACACAAAACCCCCCACUUUCAUAUAUAAUUUUUUUUUGUUGUUUUUACAUUUAAAUAGAAAAAUACUACUUCACUCUGUGUUAUGAGCAGGAGAUCAGUUGACUUCCAAUGACAGAACAAGGAGCUUUCCUAAGUGCUCCUACACCACACGCUCAAUGCCAAGAAGAAUCCUAGAAAUCUGACAGUGCCAAGAGGCUGAAGACUUCCCCAUCACACCCCAAGACAGAGCGGGGCCUCAUCUCAGCUCCUCCCUGCCCUUCUUGGGAUGCUAUGCCUUGAGAACCAUCAGCCCACAGAGCACCAGCGUUGGGUCUAACACCCAAAUUUGGGGAAGUCAGCUGUAAUUUUCACUUUCCUCUUGUCUGCUGGCUUCUUUCUAUGUGUAGCCUGUCCUGGAAGCCAUUGGAUCCCACCGGAUGUACAGAUGAAUUAGACAAAAAAAAAACAAACAA